rnacentral:rRNA from 1 species
UAAAGUCAAAUUAAUUGGUUAAAGCUAAUAAAUAACUACUAUUAAGUACAACAACUCUACUUAUUAUUGUAAGAGUAAAAUCUUUAUAAAUAAGAUAGGAAUGUGUUAAUGUAACAUUAAUUCUCUUACGAGGCGCUAGCAUAAAGACUAGGAUUAGAUACCCUAUUAUGGGCGUGAGUAUGAAAGUUUAUUAAGUUAAUAGCCUUAAUUAAAGCAAAACCUAUUUACUAUGGCGGCUGUUAGUCUCACCAGAGUCGUAUGUCCUUAAACGAAACUGCGCGAUCAUCUUACCUUUUAACUUUUGCUAAUAUAAAAUAAUUACAUUAUAGCAAUCUGGCACGUCGCUGUACUAAAAGUGAAGAUUUUAAAUAACUCAUCUUCUAAUUACUUAUUAGCAUUUAUUAAUAAUGUACAAGUCAAGACGCCGUUUUAAGAGGCUUAAGAUGUACGAUUUAAUUGAUUUGAUAGAAUUUAUAAGAAUGAAAACUUUCUUUAUUAAAAUAAUUUGGAAGUAAAAUAGGGUUAUUAUUCUUAUUUGAAAUGAGCUACUAAUAAGU